UCAUCUAGAAAAAUGGUCCAGAAGGUAAAGCAUACGGUGCAGAUGCCGUAAGUGGAUGGAUUUGGUGGUGGGAAUUUGAGGAAGCCCUCUUCAGAUUGCUUCAUUUUCCCAGUGAUACAGGAAGUGAGCCCCUGCCUCUUACCUCUUGACCUUCAAAUGUAGGAUGGUCACUUGCAGAUAAGUCCUAACUCCAACCUUUAUCAUGCUGAGUCCAGCCCUUGAGGACCCCUUCACAAGCACAGAGGUUCAAAUGGAAGGAAAACUGGAAAAUCCACAGAAUCAAUAAGAGAUAUAUGCUUUGGAUUAGAGCCAAAGGUGAAACUUGAUGAUAAACCCUUGGAUGUUUCACGUCUGGGCAAACCUACUCCCAAAGUCCAAGGAAGCUGAAAGACCAAAGAAAGAGGUUGACAAAUCCAGUCUCUCAGGAACAUUUAAUAGGGACUUACAAACAGAAACCAUGACUGUGUCUCAGGAAGCGGCAAGUCCCAGAAACUUUUCUUCUCCAAGACCAACUUUCUUCAAGACCAUUUAACCCUGUCUUGAGAAAAAGGCUUUGCGUUUCCAGCAGUUUCACUCCAUCAGUGUUUUGGACAUUGAAGUUAGCAAAUGGGAAAUUGAGACAGCAAAUUUAGGAAAGAAAAUGGCCAGCAAAGGAUAACCAGACACUUGAAAUGUCCUCUAAUCGACAGAGAGAAAAUGAAACUAGUAUAAAUAAGGGACCUGGGUUAUGCAGAAAUGACUCCAGGAGCAAAGGAAAGAUCUACAUCUUUAUCUGGAUCUGUAUCAGCGUCUUUAGUAGAAUGAAAGGAGAUAUUUCACCUGCCUGGACUGUGAAUUGCAAAAGGAACAACAUUCCACACAAAAGAAUUGUCCAAGAACAAGGAAAGAACUUUUAGAAAUUAAA
rnacentral:lncRNA from 1 species